UAGCUAAUACCGCAUAACGUCGCAAGACCAAAGAGGGGGACCUUCGGGCCUCUUGCCAUCGGAUGUGCCCAGAUGGGAUUAGCUAGUAGGUGGGGUAACGGCUCACCUAGGCGACGAUCCCUAGCUGGUCUGAGAGGAUGACCAGCCACACUGGAACUGAGACACGGUCCAGACUCCUACGGGAGGCAGCAGUGGGGAAUAUUGCACAAUGGGCGCAAGCCUGAUGCAGCCAUGCCGCGUGUAUGAAGAAGGCCUUCGGGUUGUAAAGUACUUUCAGCGGGGAGGAAGGGAGUAAAGUUAAUACCUUUGCUCAUUGACGUUACCCGCAGAAGAAGCACCGGCUAACUCCGUGCCAGCAGCCGCGGUAAUACGGAGGGUGCAAGCGUUAAUCGGAAUUACUGGGCGUAAAGCGCACGCAGGCGGUUUGUUAAGUCAGAUGUGAAAUCCCCGGGCUCAACCUGGGAACUGCAUCUGAUACUGGCAAGCUUGAGUC
rnacentral:rRNA from 1 species